rnacentral:rRNA from 1 species
UACGUAGGGUGCGAGCGUUGUCCGGAAUUAUUGGGCGUAAAGGGCUCGUAGGCGGUUUGUCGCGUCGGGAGUGAAAUCCACUGGCUUAACUGGUGGCUUGCUUUCGAUACGGGCAGACUGGAGGUAUGCAGGGGAGAACGGAAUUCCUGGUGUAGCGGUGAAAUGCGCAGAUAUCAGGAGGAACACCGGUGGCGAAGGCGGCAUCCUGGCCCUGUCCUGACGCUCAGGGGCGAAAGCGUGGGGAGCAAACCGG